rnacentral:rRNA from 1 species
ACUCAAAGGAAUAGACGGGGGCCCGCACAAGCGGUGGAGCAUGUGGUUUAAUUCGACGCAACGCGCAGAACCUUACCAGGGUUUGACAUCCUGUGACCGCCGGUGAAAGCCGGUUUCCCCGCAAGGGGCACAGAGACAGGUGCUGCAUGGCUGUCGUCAGCUCGUGUCGUGAGAUGUUGGGUUAAGUCCCGCAACGAGCGCAACCCUCGCCUUUAGUUGCCAUCAUUCAGUUGGGCACUCUAGAGGGACCGCCGGCGACAAGCCGGAGGAAGGUGGGGAUGACGUCAAGUCCUCAUGGCCCUUACACCCUGGGCUACACACGUGCUACAAUGGCGGUGACAGUGGGCAGCGAGCUCGCGAGAGUCAGCUAAUCCCAAAAAACCGUCCCAGUUCAGAUUGCACUCUGCAACUCGGGUGCAUGAAGGUGGAAUCGCUAGUAAUCGCAGAACAGCAGGCUGCGGUGAAUACGUUCCCGGGCCUUGUACACACCGCCCGU